UGUUGCUCAGAAAGCUAGGACUUGUGCUGCGUCAGCACUGGCUGUGUUGAUGUCAUUGAGGACAGCCCUCACUGUCUCUGGACUUCUGCUCUGCCCAGCGGGGAGAGGGAAGUGCUGUCCCACACAUCUAGGUCCUGGUUCCCCACGGGUGAUCUCCAGCUAUGUAGGGGAGGCCACAGUUAAGGCUUGUAGUUCAGUCUGUCUCUGGCUCUUGUCAGGGUGCUGUCUAGACAUUUAGGAGCUCUCAGCAGAGCAGGCUCCAUGCCAGUCACUGAACACCUUACAGUUCCUUGUAAGUGUAGGCACUUUGGGGCCCAGCCUCCCUGUGAUUGGAAUCCAGUUUGCCUAAGACUGGCCAGCCACAUGUUCUUGUCUUUAUUUUCCUUUGACUUUCUCCUGAUUACUACACUUCUUGCCAGGGAUGUAGAAGAGAAAUGAGAUCAUUCCCAGUAGAAACAGGUACUGCUGGUGAUGGGGGUGAGGCAGAGGGCAGGCAGAUAGCACUCUGCUCUGGCGCUCUGACAUGGUACCACACUGCUGCAUGUGGAGGUUCAGGGUCUGGGAAGAGCUCCAGGGUACAAAAGGGAAUAUGGAAAACUGACCAGCUAAGAAUACCAGCACAGCCGGUGCCUUACAUUUUCUCCGGUUUUAUUGGGGUGUUUGGGGGUGGGUUUGUUUGUUUAUUUGUUUGCUUUGCGUUGGGGAUUUUAUGAAACAGAAUCUCAUGGCUGGUCUUGAAUGCCUGAUCUUCCUGCCUCUGCCUCCCAGGUGCUGAGAUUAGACACCAUGCCCGGCUUUGGUACUUUGUGGUUUUGCUGUGGUUUUGUUUGUCUUGUGCUUCUUUACUAACUAUCAUUUGGAGGUUGUCAAAAGCCUCCAUGGCCGUGUGUUUCCCCUCUGCCCUCAGCUAAGCACAAGAGAGACCUGCAGAAUGCAAGACCUUGAGAAGUUAAACCAUGUGGGGAAGCCCGUGGUUUUCUGUGCUGAGUGGUGUCUGAGCUGAUGACAGGUGACAGUGCUGAGGCCACACCGACAGGGACAGGGUCCGAGGAACGGCCCUCUCCUCAGUCCCUUCUCACUUUAGCAUCCGAGUUUGUCCUUAGUUCUCAUUCUUCAUCCAGUUGCUCCUCAGCUUUUGUAGGGCAUCCAGAAUUCAAGCCAUGGCUGGGAGAGAGAAAGCCAUGUCCUGCCAAGCACGGUGCCCCUGCCUAUGACUUCAGCUAUUCUGGAGAUGGAAGCAGGAGAGUCAGCUGAGCCUGGGGAUUUGGUACUAGUCUGGCAAAAGAGACCCUGAGAGGGAGUGGGGCUGUCCCAAAGCAAUCGGCCUUCUAGCAGUAAUGACUAUCUGGAGUAUUCUCUUCCCAUCUCCCACGAGCACCAGACACAUGCCAGUCUCACUGGCCAGUAGAAAUGGAGAACUGAGACCCUUAGAGACAAACCCACUCACCAAAUCUAGCAGUUUCUAAGUAUCCCAGUUAGAGAUGCACCACUACCAACACAAAUGAAAGCGGGAACCACCAGCCAUCUGAAGAGAAGUGUUCCCAGCACCCACUUACGGCCCUGGACAUCUAGCCCUCUGAUUGAGGUUGGAGUUCUGGGACACCCUGAGUAGCUCACUGACUAUCACUACAUUAGUUGAAUGCACUUGAUACAUUGUGGCCUCCUUUCUGUCAAGAGCACACUAGAUAGCACCAAGCACUGCCCAAGUGUGACAUACUAUUCGAGGUGAACAGAGCUCAUAAUGGAAGUGUAAGGUGUGCCGCUGUGUAAUAUUUCUAAUAAAUAUAUUUUGUUUCUGCC
rnacentral:lncRNA from 1 species